rnacentral:tRNA from 1 species
CGGGGUGUCGUAUAACGGUUAUUACGCAUGGCUGGGGGUCAUGUAAUCCGGGUUCGAUUCCCGGCACCCCGACAA